rnacentral:rRNA from 1 species
UACAGAGGUGCCGAGCGUUUAGGCGGAAUCACUGGGCUUAAAGCGCGUGUAGGCGGGUCGUUAAGUGUCCGCGUGAAAUCCCACGGCUCAACCGUGGAACUGCCGGGCAUACUGGCGACCUUGAGGCACUUAGGGGCGAGCGGAACAAAUGGUGGAGCGGUGAAAUGCGUAGAUAUCAUUUGGAACGCCGACGGUGAAAAACAGCUCGCUGGGAGUGUCCUGACGCUGAGACGCGAAAGCCAGGGGGAGCGAACGGGG